CCUACGGGUGGCAGCAGUAGGGAAUUUUGCGCAAUGGGCGAAAGCCUGACGCAGCAACGCCGCGUGAUCGAUACGCCCUUCGGGGUGUAAAAAUCUGUCAGUUGGGACGAAACUUGACGGUACCCACCGCGGAAGCACCGUCUAACUCCGUGCCAGCAGGCGCGGUAAUACGGAGGGUGCAGGCGUUGUCCGGAGUAAUUGGGCGUAAAGAGUUCGUAGGCGGGACGUAAAGUCUGGUGUGAAAGGCAGAGGCUCAACUUCUGUACGGCAAUGGAUACUGGCGAGCUAGAAUGCGGUAGAGGUAAAGGGAAUUCGUGGUGUAGCGGUGAAAUGCUUAGAUAUCAGGAGGAACAUCGGUGGCGUAAGCGCUUUACUGGGCCGUCAUUGACGCUGAGGAACGAAAGCCAGGGUAGCAAAUGGGAUUAGAUACCCGAGUAGUC
rnacentral:rRNA from 1 species